AGCCCUUCCUUAUUUAUUUUGCUGUCUUUCUAGCAAAAAUCUCUAAAGUUUUAUGAAUAAAAGCUUUUUUUCUUUUAGAGAGCAAAAGUGUAGCUUUAGGCAUUUGGUCAUCUGUUUUAGAGCCCCUGACUAAUACACAUGAGUUUAGUUGGUUGGCGUGUGUGUGUGUGUGCGUGUGUGUGUCCGCAUAGUUGGGAAAUCACACAAUUGCAUCCUAAAAGCAGGAAACACAGGCUGGGUGCGGUGGGUCACGCCUGUAAUCCCAACACUUUGGGAGGCUGAGGCGGGUGGAUCACUUGAGGUCAGGAGUUUGAGACCAGCCUGGCCAACAAGGCGAAACCCCAUCUCUACCACAAAACACAAAAGUUAGCUGGGUGUGGUGGUGCAUGCCCAGCUGUAGUCCCAGUUACUCGGGAGGCUGAGGCAGGAAAAUCGCUUGAACCUGGGAGGCAGAGGUUGCAGUGAGCCAAGAUCCUGCCACUGCACUCUAGCCUGGUUGACAGAGUGAGACGCCAUCUCUAAAUAAAUAAAUAAAAUAAAAUAAAAUAGCAGGAAACACAAAACAUAAGUAAAGAUAUGAAAGGUGGGAAAAAAUUACAUAAUAAAUGAUUGCUAUUCCUAAUCUAAUGGAAGAGACAGACUCAUAAGUACAAUCCAAGACAGACUGUAAUGAGUAGUGUUUUAGAGAUGCUAAGUAACAGGUGAUAAUAUGCAAGAGACUGACUUAGUAAUAGUCUCCCACAUGUUGGCCCAAAAGGAGAAGAAGAGGCCGUGAAUGAUCUUUGCAAGACUAUUAACUCUGUGAAUGCAGGAACUACAUU
rnacentral:lncRNA from 1 species